CCCUUAGAUGUUCUGGGCGGCCCGCGCACUACAAUGGCGUGUGCAGCGAGUGCCGAAGUAGAGUUCUCCGAGGUAUUCUUGCAAUGCUCGUUUUGAUGGGGAUAGACCCUUGCAACUGUUGGUUUUGAACGAGGAAUUCCUUGUAAGCAUGGUUUAUCAUCCGACGCUGAAUGCGUCCCUGCCCUUUGUACACACCGCCCGUCGCUCCUACCGAUGAGUCGUCCGGUGAAGUUCGUAGACCUCGUGAUCGCGGAUCACUGGGGGAAGCAAAAUGAACCUCGCGGUUUAGAGGAAGGAGAAGUCGUAACA
rnacentral:rRNA from 1 species